rnacentral:lncRNA from 1 species
AUGAAGUCUGACAACCGGUGAGGCUACUUUCACCUGCCACAACCCACUUUUCUUCCUACAUUUUUUUUUUCCUUCCUUCUCUAGAACAAAAGGGCACCACAUGUCCCUCUAGUCUCUCUCCUCUCCUCUACUUCUACCCUUCUCUCUUAUGCUCUCUUUUUCCUCUCCAUCUUCCUCUUCCUUCCCUGCUUUUCUUCUUCUCUUUAUUUCUCCUUCUAGGUCCUAUUGUUACGCCUGCCAAGUACAAUAAAAGGAUUAGGAGCAGUAAUAAGGAGGUUAGUGAGAGUAAUAAGCAAUAAAGAAGGAAGACGAGGGCUUAGCUUUGUCUCCGCUUCAUGCCUUGGGUUGAGAAGCUUCGACCUUCGAAAUUUAGCGCUUGGAGUCGUGCUCAGAGGUGAGAAGCGCGGAAGGGGAGAGGAGAGCGACGAGAGCGAGGAAGAAGAAUGGCGAACGGUCAGGAGGUCUAGGGUGAUUUGGCGAACUGACAGGGCAUCCAGAUAGUUCGGUGGUUUUGGAAGCCCACUGGGUAAAAGUUUGACAGGGCAUCCAUUACACCAUCAAGAGAAGGUCCAGAUCUACACAGCCCAAACCGGAUCUGUUGGGCCGCUGGUGGAAGGAUUGGAAGCCCGUUUAGGACUUAGGGUUUAUUUUUAUUCAAUUCAUUAUAUAUAAGAGGCAGUGUGUAGCUCAGGAGAUUUUUAUGAAGUUGAUUAAUGAAAAUUCUCCUUCUUCUUAACUUCUCUCUUAUUCUCUCUUAUCCUCCCUAUUUCCCCUGAUCCUUCUCCUCGGCGUCCUCAUCUCAGCGAGAUCUCAUCAUCGACGGGUUGCGCCGAGUCAGGUACGUAACAUAUACCUUACCAUUUCAAUGAGGCUGCCAUCUCCUCGCUAACUUCUGACCCGAAGAUGUGGAGUUGGAAACUUGGGGUGUAAAAAUCAUUCUUCAACCUUGAAUCAAAGAUAAAAAAUUUCGAAUAAAUAAUUUGUAUGUUGGUUCCUCUUCAUAUCUUUCCCUUAAGAUGGAAUUCUCUGUGUUUCCGCACUUUCUUAGUGUGAUUUGGGUUUCUUUUUGGUGCUUUGGGUAUUUCUCGUUUGACCAACCACACCUUGCCAUCAAUCGCGGCAGGCGCUAGUUGUACCUUCACCUUGGGCUACAUUCGUCAAUCAAUCAACCAAUUUUAGGGCAAUCAAGACGGUUGAUCAAGCCCUUCCCUAUUUGACUAAGGGCUGACUAUAGACUCAAUAUUGGACCUCUAGACCAUCCUUACUGACCCUACAAACACCAACAAAAUAUGACUAGAAGCUAUCUCUUAGCCCCCGUUUGGUUCGGGGUUAAGAAAAAGUAGCUAUUCCAGGGAUAGGGUUAAGUUCAGGGUUAAAAUUGUGUUAAAAUUUUUUUGUGUUUGGUUGGAGGUUGGAGUUAGUCUAGGAUAGUGAAAAAAAGUGUUUGGUUGGAGUAGGUGGGAUAAAAAGAUAAUGAUUGAUAAAGAAGAAAAAGGUGAGAGCUCGGGAUGCGUGCGGGGUUAAAGUUGGGAAGGUGAGUGGGGUUAAUGAUUGAUAAAGAAGAAAAAUGUGAGAGCUCGGGAUGCGUGCGGGGUUAAAGUUGGGAGGGGGAGUGGGGUUAGUAAACCCCACUAACCCGGUUUGGGGUGAGGUUUACUAACCCCACCCCAAAAGAGUGGUGUUUGGAUAUAAAUUAGGGGUUAAGGGGUUAUUUCACCCCUUAACCCCCAACCAAACGGUGGCUUAGGAGCCGUUUGGUUGGAUGUAGUUAUAAAAACAGUGUAGUUGGAAGUACAUGCAGUUGUAAAUGUUGCAGUCAUAACUAUACCUAGGGGCCGUUUGGUUAGAUGUAAUUAUAAAUGCAGUGUAGUUAGAGAUACAUGCAGUUGGAAAUACAGCAGUUACAACUACAUGAAUCAUGUUUGGUUGGAUGUAGUAGAAAGCGCUGCAAGUAUAAAUAAUUUGUUUGGUUGCAUGCAGUUGAGAAAUAAUUUUUAAAAUUUUAUUAUUUUAUAUAUAUGAUGGUGAGAUUACCUCCAAUGUAAUAAAGGAAAAUAAUUUUUAUUUGAAAAAUAUUGAGGAGGUAAGCAUACUUUUUACUCAAAGUUACUUUCUCCAACUGCUGUAGUUGGAACUGCGGCCAAUUUGCGCGUAGUUCGAACUGCUGCAGUUGGGCCUCCUCCUGCAGUUCCUAUUACAGCAGUUGGAGUUAAAUACAUCAAACCAAACACGAAAUUUGUAUUUACAUACAUUUACAACUGCAGUGCAGUCGCAACUACAUGCAACCAAACAGCCCCCUAGUCUGUUUGGUUUUAUGCAGUUGCAACUGCUGCAGUUACAUUUCUUCUGUUUGGUAGUCUGCAGUUGAGAUUUGUAUUUGUAAAUUCUGUCAAUAUUUAGAUAACAAUAUGAGAUUACCUCUUCUGAGCAUAACGUAAUCAUAUUUUAAUUAUUAAUUAAGACUUUAUAUCUAUAUAUAAUUUAUAUAUUAUAAAAUUAAGUAUGAAUUUAAUAAAUUUUAAAUAUAAAUAUAUUAUAAAUUUGGUCAAAAUAAAAAUUAAGAUAUUAUUAAACUAGCAGACUGAAAAAUAAAAAGUGUAUGAAAAAAAUUUAUUGACCCUAACAGACAUUACUAAAUCCUAUUAGAUUUCAUGAAUGUGUAUUUUUGAAAAAAAAAAUAAAAAAGGAAGCAUAUGAAAAAAAAAAAAAUUACACUUUGUUUAUAUUUUUAAUGGGCAAGCCGACUCCGGCUCAACUGCUGCAGUUGGGCCUUCUCGUGCAGAUGCAAUUGCAGCAGUUGGAUCUAACUACACCAAACCAAACAAAAAAUUAAUAGAUGCAUGAAUUUCCAACUGCAAUACAGUUGGAAAUGCAUGCAACCAAACAGCCCCUUAGUGUUGCAUCACUAAAAUUAAAAUAUAUAUCUUGUUAACUAUUGCAAUUAUCUUUUUAUAUUCAUGUUGGACAUAUUAGUAUUAUGAUGGAGUAAACAUGGUCUUAUCUGUAUGUACUUACACCCCGUUUGGAAUGGGUACACGAGGGGGGAUAAGGCGGUUAUCCCCCCUCUUGCAACCUGGUACAAGCCCCUUGUACCAGGUUGUUCUACCCCAGAGAGAGAGAGAGAGAGAGAAAGAGAGAGAUUCUUAUAUCUAUCCCCGAUAUAACUAGUUCUUGCUGAUACUCGAACCAAACGGAGUCACAUAACUUGCAUGACUUUAGGAAAUGCAUCGAAUUCUGUAGAGACUUGAUCAAAUUUUGUUAAUAUACAAGCGUUAUCAGAGAACUGAUUAUGUAUGUACUUUCUAAUGAUAUUAUAUGUAGGAAUAUUGUAUUGAGCGUCGUGACUAGCUAGAGUUGUUGAAUUUGGAACAUCUGAUAUCGUCGAGUGUGCAUGUGUCAAUUUUGAUGUUUGAAUAACAUAGCUAAAAAAUCAAUUAUCACAUCGCUUGGUAUAUAUAAAUAUGCUUGAGCUUGGCGGGAACAUUAUGACUUAAAAAGAAAAAGAAAUGUGAUACUUUUAGAAUUUAAAAUAAUCUAUAUAUAAGAUAUAAUAAGACUAAACCUCUUAACACGGUUAUAAUAUUUUGAGCGCUGAUUAUAGCUACGAAGUUAAUAAGGUUAAAUAUAUUAGGGUUAGAGUACUUCUAGAAUGGAUGAUCCUCCUAGGAUGCAGGGCAUGUUUCCUCAUCAAAAAUCACUUGGAAUAGCGGAAGGCUCUGUGCUUUUGAAAGUAUAUCCAUACCAUCCCUCAAGUGUGUCGAAUCGUUGGCGCUAACCAUUAAUCCCAAAAGCUCGAGCUGCUAGAAAUACGCAAUCAAUUUACUUAAAGCAUACAGAUAAAGCGCCGACGGGUCUUGAUUGUGACUCGGCCCAACCAGCCUCACAGCACUUCGAACAUGAUUUAGCUCGAACAUAACUCGACCCACCCAGGCUCACGCUAUUUUGAAUAUGACUCCGCCCAACAGUGCAGAACGCUGGCCCAUUUAAGCCAACAAUCCUCCCUCUAGCACCUGCACACAUUUACAGCAUGUGGGAAUCGAACCUGUUACCUCUGUCCCCGAUAACACUUGUCGGAUCGUUGACGCUAACCAUUAAUCCCAAAAGCUCGAGUUGUUAGAAAUACGCAACCAAUUCACUUAAAUCAUACAGAUAAAGUGCCCACAAGUUUUGAUUGUGACUCAGUCUAACCAGCCUCAUGCCACUUCGAACAUGACUUGGCCCACCCUAACCUCACGCCAUUUCGAAUAUGACUCGGCCUAAUAUGGCCUCCCGCCACAAGGCAGGAUGCUGGCCUAUUUAAGUCAACAAAGUGGCAGCAUAUUUUUUUUUCUUAUUCUUUUAAGCCUUACAUUUUUUAUAGAAUUCAAAUUCGAAUUCUAAUGUGAAUCUUAUAUAGAUGCGGCGGUCACGAUCUGAUUAUAAGGGUGUUGGUGCCAAUAGAAAAGCGCCACGUGGUGAAUCGGUGCACGGCGCAGCCAGGAGCUCCAAAGCUAGAAAUAAAUGACAUUUGGUGCACCGGGAGUAAGUAACAAAUGGUAACCAACCGCAAGCAGUUUGAGCAGUUGAGAUCGACCUAUAGUGGCCCACGAAAUUAGGGAAGUGGCUGAUCAUAUAAAUAACUAAAAAAUAAUGCACGGAGUAUAAAUAGGCGAAUAACACCUGAAAAAGUGAUCUUUUCCCUACGAAUAGAAAACAACUUUUCAAUUUCUAUGUAUUUUUCUUACAUUUUUAAGAGUAGUCUACUUAUAAUUUUUUUUUCCUUUGCCGCAUUUUCUGUCUUUCUUAAGAGUAAUUUUAAGUUAGAUUUCUGGAGUCUGUAUGCCGCACAGGCACACUCUUUUUUGUACAAGUCUCCAAAUUUAGUUUUAAUAUAUAAAAACAUUCGGCUCUUCAGCCGACCCAAAUCACUGUGCAUUCCGCACAUUCGGCUCAUUCAGCAUUCCGUACAUUCGGCUUAUUCAGCCGAACCAAUUCUACAGUAAAGGAUUUCGAACUCGGCUGAUCCGAUCUGUUAUCAGCCGAAUCGCUUGAUCUAUCGAAGGGCGCAAAUUUCGAGAAUCACCACGUGAAGUCGUAUCAAAUCACUGCACACUUUCCUAGAGAGAUCUUUGACCAGAUCAAAAGUUAAGGAAUUCGGCUCCUAGCAAAGGGGAUUGGAUUGCGAUGCUCCAAUUCCAAACUAUGCCUAAAUCUUUUCGAGUUGGGAUUUGUCUUAGCAUGCCAAUUCACGUUGUGGGCUUAAUUUAUGGAUUUGUUGUUCCACUUAUACAUAGUUCAGAGACGUAUAAUGAUCCAAGUAAGAACGAGCUGAGCUUAAGCUGGUGCAUUUUGUAUCGAGUUCAACUCGAGCUGCUAAGGAAUUUAUUUGUUUGGAUACUUGGGCGCAAAUAACAAUAACAAUAAUAAAUAUUAUUAUUAUUGUUGCUGCUCAGGCCCUACCUCCGGCGCAGGGCACUGCGGCAACCGCAAACCUUCCUGCAGCGUCUACACCAGUCGUUGCUCUAGCCACGACGACGAUGACUGUUUCCGCUAGCGCAAAUGACACCCUUGCAGCGGAGGCGCCUACAUCAGGGCGAAACUGGCAACAAAAGUUUGACCUGCGAAAGUUCACAGGCAAAUCGGAUGAUGGGUAGGCCGUUGAGCGAUGGGUCUCCUGUAUAGAUCGAGAAGCUUUUACGUGACUUGUACAUGAAGGAAUAGAACAAGGUCCCUCUGGCCGCCCACUGUUUAAAACAAUAUCUAUACUCUUGAUCUUGAUUACAAGACUUCUAUCAUCAAUUUUUAAAGAAUGUUCAUUUUCAGCCAUUCAUUUUUGUGUCCACUUGAUGGACAAUAUCAGAAAAAUAUUAAAUUUGGUUUGUAAAUUCUUCAAGUGGUAUAGAUCAUGUUCAACAAUACUGAUCGUCAAUUUGGAGGCUCCAUCAUAAAAAACAAAUAGAUGGCAAUGAAGCUCAUUUGUUAUUAAUAGCAUUCCAACUCAACUCUAUAUAUAUCAUUUACUCUCGAGUUAUUUGUUAUAUAAAACUAUUCUCAUAAAUAAAUUUUUACUAUUUGUUUUUAUUUCAUAU